rnacentral:rRNA from 1 species
UACGAAGGGGGCUAGCGUUGCUCGGAAUCACUGGGCGUAAAGGGUGCGUAGGCGGGUCUUUAAGUCAGGGGUGAAAUCCUGGAGCUCAACUCCAGAACUGCCCUUGAUACUGAGGAUCUUGAGUUCGGGAGAGGUGAGUGGAACUGCGAGUGUAGAGGUGAAAUUCGUAGAUAUUCGCAAGAACACCAGUGGCGAAGGCGGCUCACUGGCCCGAUACUGACGCUGAGGCACGAAAGCGUGGGGAGCAACCAGG